CAAAGGCUUUAAAGGUGAAGCCUUGGUCUCUGCAGAGGAUCUGGAUGAGGCUCCUUUACCCUUCAAGUUCUGUGCUGAUUGGUAGAAUCAAGAGGUGGGAGGGAGGUCACAAAGGGCUUCUUCCAUCUACAAAUGUGCUGAUCAUAAGUUCGUCUGAAUGUGGAGAAGAGUGAAGAUGAAGCACAAUGGCUCAGAAAGCACAGAACGCGCAAUGCUUCUCAUUUUAAGAGUCUGAUAAUUAAGCCAUUAAAGAAUGCUGGGACUAGCAAUAUCAUGUCCACGGGGAGCUAAUUACUUGUACCACUGGUAAAAUACCAUGACAACAAUAAAGGACAUUUUAUAGACGAGGAACGCUGACAAGCUCUUGCCCUGAAGUGUGCAGCUGGAGGGCUCAGCCUCUACCCUCCCAAGUCAGUGGAAUGUCUCCAGUGAACAACAGCAACUCAGGACCUGCAUAUCUGCUGUCAAGGUGAUUGCAUUACAGAAGAAUUUCACUUUCUCCAUAUGGAUGCAAGAUUGCUGGACUCUGUUUGAAAUGAGGAAUUUUUGGUCUCUGAGACCUGGACCUCAGCCACACUCUGCAGCUCUCUCCUCCUCCGUGCCCCUCUGGGCAGCACAAGAGAUCCAGAGAAAGAAAGACACUGCGCUGCCUGGGACCCCAGCUGUGAGCUCCUGUUUGUGAACACCAGCUGGGAAUCUGCUUCAAAUCAAUACCAACUCAUUUUUCCUCUACAAAUGAUCCUCCAGAAAAGUAGCAGCCAGAAGCAGAGCUUGUGACAGUCUCACUCAGCUGAAAACCUGCCUUGUAUGUCUCAGGAGGGAGGCUCAGAACUGCCAGACAGAAAGUUAUUGCUAAAACCACACAGUUUUCCUGGCCCACUCCAAUGGAUUUUUCCACCAAAGAAAGGCAUGUGUUGGCCUCGCAGCAGUAACUUGAGGCUCUGCAUGCCUGGCGAUGAGCUCUACGUUCAGCCUGCCCUGCCUUUCUUCUGCAUUAAGGGAUGAGCUCCUCCCAAGUUCUUCACAGCUCAGGUAUGAUGGGCACAGCCUGGCAACACUAUGAGGUGCUGAUGUGCUUGUGGGGUCACAUAGGAUGUGAUACCCAGGUUUUACAUCCCAGUGAAUAUAAUUCCUCUGUUUUGCUUGCUGCAUGCAGAGGAUGGUUGAAGUUCCUCCUGGACUGGACUCUGCCUGGCAGUCUGUUAGGGACUGGUGAACAUGACAUCCCAUAUGUAAGUGGUUGUUCACAGUGAGAAUGUGCACUAAAAUCAUGAGCCUCCCCUGGUGCAGCCUAAGGCCAUUCCCUCUCAUUCUGUUGCUGUUACCUGGGAGAAGGGGCUGACCCCAACUCACUACAGCCUCCUUUCAGGUAGUUGAAGAGAGCUUUCCUGAGCCUCCUCUUCUCCAGGCUAAACACUCCCAGUUCCCAAUGCCUAUACUGUUUCAUGCUUAUACUCUUUCCAUAUGUAGAUCUGUUUUUUGUGCUUUUUACCCUCUUAUUUGUUGGCUGGCCAAAUGCAUUCCCAUGCUUCUCUUAGACAUUUAUAAAUAUGCGUAAAUAUAUGUCACACCAAGCCUCUCCAUCACAUUCAUUUCUCGUCUUCUUUCUGUAGUUGCCUAAAAUGACUAAUGAAAGCUUGCUUUAUCACCUUACAAGAUGUAUACAAGACUUCCAUUAUCCACAGGGCUGUGAGAACCAGAGUGAACAGCUUCAGAAGUCACAGGCAGCUGAAGGAAGACAACCAUAUGAAAAAGAAAUCAUAUGAAAGUGCAUAUAAUUCAGGAAAGGGCCACCAGUCAUGUUGGAGCUUAAGGCUGGAAAUCAGCUUUCCAGUAAAAACAGUGGAGAGAAUUAAACAGAAAUUGAACUCAAGCCUCUGUUUUUCAUAAUUAAAAUCAACUCUUCCUAGUUUCAGUCUUUUCAACCAGUGCUUAAUCAAAGGAAGAAUCUUCUUGCAUCCUCUCUUUUCUCAUUCAAGUUGUGCUCUACAUGUUGACCACAGACUAUUACUGUCACAGUGAUUUACCUUUCUGGCAUUAGUUAUGGCCUUUGCAUCCAUUUCCAGCUCGCUGGGUGGUGAGUUUAGCCUUCCGGCAUGGAGGGAACAGUCCAGUGAACAUGAGUCUCAGUGGUGGCAAAUACAAACAUUAAAGGCAAAAGAAUGAGAGGCUUUGAAAAGGGAGACGGAUUCUCUACAUUUAGUUUCUGGGUAUGAGCUUUUACAGUUCAUGUUAUCAAGUCACUCCUCUCAACUCUGAGGGCAAGAAGCACAUGUUUUGUGCUCCACCCAAAUAAAAUGAUGCUGUUCCAGUGCUCACCUUUAAAUGUUUUUGGUUAGCAAAUCUGAAGCAAAGCACCAGUGCCUGUUUUGUCUCUGAUCCUCUACUACCUUCCCAAUGUCUGUAACCUUUGUUUUGUAGGUGCCUGCAACUUUUUAAUUACCAUCCUGUAGCUGAGCAACAGUGAUAGUGUGGGCACCUUGAUGCCCAGUUUUGAAGGCACACCCAUCUUGGAGGGAAGCUGCAGCUGGGAGUCAGGAUUAGCCCACCCUGGAGCCCCUGUGCUGCCUGCAGCUGGCAGGCAUUGUGCAGCUGGAUCUCCCAUCCUGGCACCAAUGUUGUGCUCCUCAGCCUGACCUUAGUGUGAGCCCAUCGAUUGCUGCACUGUGCCAGCAGAGAGUUGUGCUCCAGUGGCUUGUGGGCGGCAGCACAGCCAAGAGCCUGCAGAUUUGAUUACAAUUAUCAUCCACAUGGACAAGUUCAGUUACUUGCGAACUCUACCAUGACCGUAUAUUAUUGAAUCCAUAUUUCAAGAGCACUUUAAUCUUGAGCUCUGUCCCGCUGGAGUGUGGGCAGCACUACUGUGUCCCACGUCCUCUGCUGGGCUUUGCUAUCGAUCUCUCUCCAGCUCCUUCCUUUUCAUUACAGCCUUGUCUUAUUUGACCCUGGCUUUACUUUUGUCAUCACCUUUCUUCACCUUAUCUCCAUUUUGAAAAGUAAAUCUUAUCUGCUUUCAAAACCUUCACAUUCCUGAUGACAGAGAAUCUCCACACUCAUUCUCAUAACCAGAACAUAAAAGUCCACACAGGGACUAAGAAAAACGGGGAGCUCUUUGGCUGAGAGCAUUGCGUGUGCUGCUGCAUUUAGGUGUUGUCUCUGACCCUAAAAGAUACACUAUACAUAAUGUGCAAGAAACAAGCAAUAGGAAAGAAGGAUGUUGUUUUUUUGUACAUUUAGUCAAAAUACUCUGCCAAAUUAACUACUUCAGAUGGUUAGAAAAGCUGACACAAUUUAACAUCUGUGGAUUUUUUUCCCCUGCAUAUUAACAGAGAUAGCAGUGAUUGGCCAGGCUAAGCCCAGCCAUGUGCGUGUCAACUAAAUGCAGAACAGUUGUUAUCUCUUGAUAUUUGCUGAGGCGAGGCUCUCUGAGCUACAACAAAAAAGAUGCUGACACAAAUGUAGUAUGCAUGAUAGCAAGUUCAAAGAAUACGACAUCAUGCCCAUGUCCCAUAUGCAGGGAUUUGCCAUUGACUUGUGUUUUAAUUCGGCAAUUUGAGUCACUGGUCUUUUCCUCCUUUUGGUAAAGAGCUUUGGGAUCUCUGCUUCCUACCCAUAAAGUGCAUUAUUGUGAAACCGUUCCCUUAAUUGCCCUUUCCACAGGCAGACGUUGGCCUUUUACCAAAGGCAUAUUGUGUUUGCAUUGAUCACACUGCUGCCUAUAUGACCUUGUCAUUAGGAAAACAUGAAACAUAAAAUAUGAGAUACUUGGACUCCUUCUAGCGUUAUUCAUUGCUUUAUUUUCUGAUCUCUGAAAGAUAUUGCAGAGCCAGCAGGAGGUCUGUUUGAGACCUGCUGACACUAUGGAAUUCGUGGUACUUUAAUUAUCCAAAUGAUCUAAACAAAAGAAGUUAACAACUGAGUAGUGUGUGAUUGAUUGUAAGCUGCAAACUGCAAAAAUAAAUGUAGCAGCUGGAGCAGUGACAUGAAACUCUGGUGGUCGCUCCUGCAGCCUCCUACCACCACCAUCUUGGACAGAACAAAAUACAGCACUUGCAACAAUCCCAAGUGACAGGGGUUGAUUGCAGGACUCAUUUGUGUAUCUUUAGCACAUAAAGAACACAAUUGUCAAAGUCUGCAGUGUUGCCAAUACAUGUGACUUUCAGCUCAUCUUGAAGUACUGAGAAUUUUCAUUAUCCAGUAUCGCUGCAACUGACUUCUUAGGGAGUCCACUUCCUGAAAAUAGAAAAUAAUGGGUGGUCAUGAAAACUGAAUUAAGGGAGGAGAUGGGAAAGAGGAAUAUAAAGCUGACUUGGCACAGACAAUAAGUACUGGGAGAUAGGAAGACAGAGCCUAAACGAAGCCAAGAUGCAGAGGUGGAGUUCAUGUUGCUUAGGAGAGGCAGCUAAGGGACUGACUGAGAUGAGUAAUGAAAUUAUACAAGGUGCCCUGGGUGGGAAAAUGGAAAUUAGCCAGACUGUGGGGAGAAGGCGGCCACAGGAACACAGGUAAUGUCCAGGGGAAUUCUGAUUGAGCAGAUAUGGAGGAGAAAGACAGAAAACAAGGAGAAAGAAAGAGCAGAGGGUGAAAGCAAGGCAGGAGACCAUUUCUGUAAGCCACCACCUUCCUCAGAACUUGCACAGGAAAGCCAAGAUUUCUGAGCACCUUCACUGCUCCACAUUUCAAGGCUGAUACUGCAGUCAGAUUCUUCUUGGUCCAAAUGAUAGAGCUCAGCACUGGGGAUCUUAGUCUCCCAGAUGAUGU